GUUUCCAUUCAGAUUUUACGACGAAAACAAGUAGGACUCGCCUCGGCUUACUUCUACUCGGUACGUAGCGACCUGUCAGACCUCCACUCGCUACGUAGCGACCUGUCAGGCCUCAAAAGGGUCUUUCUUUGCGUUCUCUUUUGAAUCCUCAUCGAAACGCGUUUCGUUUCAUCUCAAUCGGAGUUUCCGUUGAGAUUUUACGACGAAAACAAGUAUGACUCUUCUUGGUUUGCUUCUACUCGCUACGUAGCGACCUGUCGGACCAAAGUUCGCUACAUAGCGACCUGUCAGACCUCAAAAAGCUCCUCUUUGUGUUCUCGUUUGAAUCCCGAUAAAAAUGCUUUUCGUUUCGUCUCAAUCGGAGUUUCCGUUGAGAUUUUACGACGAAAACAAAUAAGACUCGUCUUAACUCCUAUGCUUGCUCCUACUCGCGCUUACCUCCAUUUUUGUGUUCUCCUUCAAAUCUCGAUCAAAACGUCUCUUGUUUCGUCUCGAUUGGAGUUACCAUUGAAACUUUACGAUAAAAAAAACCCCCCAAAGACUAGUUUUCUAGCAUGAAUUCAAAUUAUUCGUAUAAAACGGCAACGGUUAACUUAACAUCUUAGCCGCCUCAACUAUACGAUUACGUUGAAUCUUUUUAUAAAAAUUGUCGUCGUAUCUAAGCGGAAGAUAACAGUCAAGUUCGGAAGAUAAAUGUCAAGUUUCAAAGGAUAAACACCAAAAUCGAAAAUGGCGAACAUACACGAGAAGAGGAAGGAAAAAUAAACAAGCAAAAUUGAGAAGAGAAAAAACUGAAUCUUCGAGAGAACUAAGGUAUUUACGACUUGAAAUUUUUGAAAUUAGACUUGGAAUUUUUCGUAGGAAAUUACUAAGAAAUAAAAACGCCUUUGAGACUGCCAUAGAACUUUAGGGAACGUAAAACCUAGGUGGAUAGUCUAGCGAACUAAGUCUUAGGCGAUUUUUCCUUUCUCGAUAUAUCAUUCCAUAACCGUUCAUCUAGAUCUUGUAAACCGAUCUAAACUCUCCGAAAAUCGAGAAACGAUCGCCACGCAUAUCAAGCUCGCUUCCUAAGGAGAGAAAAAAACUAGAGACAUCAACGUCGUCUUAAGACCGAUUCGUUUCUGGCAAUUUUCUCCGAACCGACAUAUUCCAAGUCGUAAACGUUGAAACAACAAAAUCACAGUCAAGCGUCAUCUUUACAUCGUCCCGGAUUAUCGAUCAUAUCAAACCUCAGAAGAAGAAACGUACACAACCCUUCAAAGUAUCGGUUCAAUUGUUUUCUUUCGGUAACAAAAAAAAGGGGGAGUAGGUACGUAUACUAAACUCGUAUACUCCCAAGCUUCUAAAAACUUUUGCAAAUCGUCAAGAAAACGAUUUUGUCAAAGCAAAUCGUCUCAAAUAGGCAAACGAAAAUCUAAAAUUCGUCUAACCGCUAGCAACAUAUCCAAACGAUUACGAACAUAAUCUCAAAAACUAUACAUCAUUUCUUGUCGCAAUGAUGCGUACAAAAAGCCUGUACCAAUAUCAAACUGAAACUCGACGAUUAGCCAAAGUAUUGAACCCUUUUCCGGCUUUAGAAAGCCAUUUUCGUUUAAAAAUUUAUACGAGAAAUCUUCAAUCACCAAAGCAUUUCUUUCAGUUUCCAUUGUACCAAGUGAGUCACGGAAAAGCAUCAAAAACAUUUGCGAUGAACAAAACUCGAGAAUAGAUGUAGCAUCGUGCACAUUAAAAGGAAUACUUUCCUCCCGAUGGUUAGUUAGAUCCACUUCUGGUUGACCAAUUCGUUCCAGAAACGAAUGUGUCAUGAGAACCCGCUUAAAAAACCUAUGAAAAACGUUAUGCGACACUGGUAAUACUUUGAAACACUAUCAUAGAGCCACAGACCGUCUGAGACCCGAGAAGCAAAAAAAAAAAAAUUGACGAACUAAUCUCUUGUACUGAUAUCGAGAGGUCUAUGUGCCUAUAAUGUUACGUAUUUUCAGUGUUACGAUACUGGAAAUACUUUGCAAUGUAACACUGGUAUUACUAUGACAUACUAGCAUUGUAAGACUGAAAAUACUAGGAAAUGCGUAACACUAAAAAUACUAGGAAAUACUUCAGAUCUUUAACACUGGAAGUAUUUUGAUUGUGAAAAAAUAAAGCUACAAUUUCAAUGUAGAACUUAAAGAGUAUUAAUAUGCUACAAUUAUUACACAUGACAUUAAAGUAAUAUAUAAAUCUUGAAGCAAAUUGGGUGACAUUAACACUUAUUACCAAUUUUGUGUACAAAUAACAAUUAAAUAAAAAGUUAAGGAUUAGUUUGUAAAUUAAAAGUUAGAGCAUCUCCAAUGGUGUUUCAUUUUCCACUUUUUGCUUCAUUUUUUACUCCAUUGGUACUUCAUUUUUAUCUUCAUUUUUUUCUUUAUUUCUUAAAUUUUUUUUGAAGAAUUGAACAAUAUUUCUUCAAAUUUGGAGAAAUACUGUUCAGUUCUUAAUUUUUUGAAGAUGGACUCUUUUAUUUACAAACUAUUCUUUAACUUUUAUUUAUUGUUAUUUUUUACUUAAACAAAUUAAAAAUAUUAAUGUCAUCCAAUUAAUUUCAAAUUUUACAUUAUUACUUUUAUCUAAUUGAAUGUUAAUAACGAAGAAUAUUAAAUUACUGAUUUCUACGAAUUUUAUGUUCGAUUUAGAAGAAUUUAGAAUAAAAUAAGAUCAUUUUUUUUGUUUUAAAAUAUUUUUAAUCACUUAAUAGAUAUAUAUGUAGUUAGUGCUUUUUAUAAAAUCUUUUGUUUUUUAUUUAUGUUAUGUGUAAUAAUUGUAUUAUAUAAUAAUUAUUAAUUUUUAUUAAAUAGUAAUUGGGUGGAAUUAAUGUUAAAACAAAACACAUGGGUAAAAUUGGCAAAUUUGAAAAAGUAUAAGGUAUUAUUAAUAAUUAAUUAUAAAGUGGUGGUAGAAUAUACGUAGAAUACUCUAUUUUGAAGAAAAAUAUGAAGCAAACCAUUUUUAGAGAGCAUGUUGCUUCAUUUUUUGAAAAAAUGAAGAACUAAACAUUUUAAAUCCGCUGCCGUCACCCGGCUUUUCCCUUGCUAUGAAUAACUGGGUAAAUUUAGGUAUAACAGUAGGUACUAACCCCAACAUUAGGAUCCAUAAAUCAUAGCCUUAGCUGUAUAAAAUUAAAAAUUAGUUUGUAAAUUAAAAAGUUAAUGUUAAAAAAAUGAAGAAAUGAACAUUUUAAAUCCGUUGCCGUAACCUGGCUUUUGCCUUGUUAUGUGUAACUGGGUAAAUUUAGGUAUAACAAUACGUACUAACCCCAACAUUAGGAUCCAUAAAUCAUAGCUUUAGCUGUAUAAAGUUAAGAAUUAGUUUGUAAAUUAAAAAGUUAGCAUCUCCAAUGGUGCUUCAUUUUCCACUUUUUGCUUCAUUUUUUACUUCAUUGGUACUUCAUUUUUUUCUUCAUUUCUUCAAAUUUUGUAGAAUUGAACAGUAUUUUUUCAAAUUUGACUAUUAUGUUUUGUAGACUAUUAUACCCAAACACGCAGAGGAGGAAUUAGGGCUUUCGAUAUGACACCUCCUAAUUGGUGGACGUUACAAUGAUUAAUCUGUAUGACACCUCCUUCAAUUGGUGAACGUUACAAUGAUGAAAAAUUAAAGAUUUAAUCCAAUGUUGAAUCUUUUCAACACCUCCAAAUCCAAUGUAGAAACUAAAGGCUAUUAUAUGUUAAUAUUAUUACACAUAUCAUAAAUAAUUUAACAAAAUUGUAGAAAUUAAAAGAUGUCAUAUGGUAAUAUUAUUACGCAUACCAUAAAUAAAUAAAUAAACAAUUUAGGUUCCUUUUCAAAACAAACAAUUUUUGUUUUUAAAUCAUCUGCCAUUAUAAUGUAUAACUGUAUAUAUAAAGUUAUAUAACGAAUAUAAAGGAUUUAACGAUUAUUGUAUUGAUUAAGAAAUAAAUUCAAAAGAUUUAAUUUUGAAACAAUUUAAUUUUAUAAUCACAUGAUUUAACCAAUUUAAUUUUUAAUAAACCGACCUAAGUUCACAAUAAAGUUAUCUAUUAUUAAAGAAUUCAAUGUCAUUCUAAUUAAGAACACACAAGACAACAAGUAAUUUUGCGGUUUCCGUAUGACGUGGGACCCAUUGUGAUUAAUAGCAAAUAAAAAGGAUCAAUAAAAAUACAUUAUAAUUAUUCAUGACUAUUAUUUCUUUUUGAUAAAAUGACUAUUCAUUCCUUAGUAAACUACACAUAAUAGCGAAUAUUUCCUUAGAAAAUCGUAUUUUACUGGAUAGGAGUGUAGAACAACUAGCUCAACAACCUCCUCAGACAUAGACUCCUUUUAUUACACGGAACAACAAGCUCAACAACCUCCUCUCAUGGCAGAAAAGAAAUAUUUAGACCCAAAUCCUCUUUUCGGUACGUGUACUUGUGAUGUUUUUAUAAUUAUGGUUUAUCGUUUUCAAAGUUUCUGAUUCCUAUGCUUUUCUAAUUCUCUCAACCACUGUUCUUGAUUCUAUUACUCCUCUGUGAGCCCGAGUUCAAGAAACAAAAUCUCGAAGAGCUCCAAACUGACGAAUGCAACGUCGCACACAAACCUCGUACCAGUGCCAAGAUUGAUGAUAAAGUCAAAACAGAUCUUAAACUAGUCGAACCAUUCAUCAAAUUCUUCAACACCUGAAAGAAGUGAUCUUCUAUCUAAAUGCCUAUCUAUAUGUUUCUUGAGAAGUCUUGGCCACUGAUGAUGUCUUGGUCGAACCAAUUGUCUUACGUUUUACCAUGUCGGCUGCAGGUUUUGUCCAUCAGAUGAUAUGAUGGCAAACUAUUAUCUGAAAAACAAAGUUCUAGGACAACCAAUGAAAGCGCUCAUCAUACCUGAAGAGUGUGACCACAUCAUCUCAAUACCUCCUCGUGAUUUGCCAUGUCAGAUAAUAUUGAAUCAUGCAUGUUGUGGUUUUGUUUCUUGAUCUAACUUUCUCUUCUAUUCCAGGCUAUCCAAGAGAAACAUAAUGGCAUUGGUAUUGCAGGAGACCUAAUGGCCCAAAAUCUAGAAAUCUCUUGACACGAGUCGGUGAAGAUACUAUUGUGUUUGAUCCACAGGGAAACGAUGUUGGUGUCAAACGUACUUAUGCUCUCAUUGAGCAGGACGAAGAAUAUGAUGACAUUUCUUUGCCUGACGAAAUAGAAUCUCCAAGAGAAGAAUGGUUCAUGGAAGAGAUUAGUCUACCAACGUCUGUUGCUAGUACUGACUUGGUUUUCUGCCAAGAAUGGUUCAUUGAAGAGAUUAGUCUAUCACCGUCUGUUGUUGAUACUGACUUGGUUUUCUGCCAUGUUAUUCUCAACAAGAUUGAGAAAGAAGAGGUGAUAUGAUCUUGUUUCUAGAUUGCUACUUUUAUAAUAUUUGGUGUUAUGGUUGUCGAUGUUAAACCUGAACGACCUCGUUCUGUUAUGGUUUGGUGAUGUUUAAUUUUGGAUCUACCAUGUUUAAAUAAUAUUGGAUCUACCAUGUUUAAAUAAUUUGGGAUCUACCAUGUUCUACUAACAACAAAUUCAUAAAAGAAACAAAAGGCACACUGCCAUCAAAGCUUUCCAAUUCCUGAUUUCUAUCUUGCUGCUUGCUACAUCUUUCUUCAAAUCUUCAAUCAAAGUCUUUAACUCAUCAACCUCGGUUUUGGUCUUAGUAAUCUCCCUGUCAAGGAUUUUGAUUUUUGGAAUAGCAUUACAUACAUCAUCGUCAAUCCACUUAAAAAAAUGCCCUAAUUCAUGACCCAAUUAGAUAUCUUUCUGUCUAAAUAACAAAAACAAGUUAGGAGGAAGCUUACCUCCUUUUUGCUUAUACAACGGUAGAAAGGUCUUUCUGGAUUCUCUUAUGUCUUCAAUAGUAAAGGUACAACACUUAAUCAACAGUCACAUUUCGUUGGGAACCCAUGAUCUCCUCCUCUAUAUUGUACUUCCGAAGAUGAAUUCAUCAUUAAAUCGAGACAAAACUUUGAACUGAUUUUCUGUUUUUCGAUGUUGAGAGAAAUAAGAAUUAAUGUUGGAGAAUUGGGAGAAUUAUGGUUGACAAAACGAGGUCAUUUGGGUUCCAGCGAUUUUAGUCAGAAAUUAACCCUGUCUAAUUUAUCUGUUAACCGAAGUGACGACGUCUUAAAAUUGGUUCAGUCAAAUUAAUUUGAUACUUUAAGGUAAUUGGUGCUAUAAUAGGUCCAUGGGAAAUUUUAUGAUUUUUCCCAACCAAAUUUGAAAGUUAUUCGUUUUAAAAAGUCGCAUGGCAUGUCAUAUAUUGUAAAUUAUUAAAAAAAUUAAAUUCUUAUAAUAUUAGUGUUCUCGAAAACAGACAUUCUUGGUAUAUGUUCUCCACUGUAGUAAACUGGAUGUGGCUUUGCCAUGCCUUCUCGGUAUUAUGUGGUUUUUUUCUGACAAUAUAUGUUGUAAUUCCCUUCGUUUUCACAUUUUCAUAUAAAAGCACCAACAAUAUAUAACUCCGACCAAGUGAACUAAACUAUAUCAAAUACAUUUUUUACUCCUACUUCUACUUCUUGUCAAUUCAACUUUCAAAGCUGUGUAAAUCGUAGCAUUAGCUGUCUAAAUAAAACUAUCACCUCAAUUAUAGGGUUUUAUAAUUUUUAUUCCUAAAAUAUUCCUAAAAUUCUUAAACUAACAUCAAACAUUUAAAUUCUUAUAAUACUUAUUCUAUGAAAACUUUGAUCUCGUAUUUUAUAGCUAAAUAUCAAAGAAAUUGAAACCAAUUAAAGUUAAGGAAUACUUUGUGUGAUUUCUUCAUAUGGAUGAAAAAAAACACUAUCUAUUAACUCAUUUUUGAAGGAAAACAUAAGAAAAAUCAUUACAUAAUAUGAUUUGUAAAAACACAAGAUUCUCUUUAUUAAAAAAGUCGGAAUUACAUAAUAAGAUAUGCAAGAAACAUAAACAUUAAGUAGAUUGCAUCCGGGUUACCGUGACGAUAACACUCUACAUAAAAAAUAACACUCUACAUAACACAUUGCAGGCAUCCGAGCCAACAAUGGGAAAGGGAUGUUUGCUAGGUUAAAGGCUGCAUAGACUGACGUUCGUUCCGAAACCUCCUUAAGUUGCUUCCAGGUUAAUUUGACAACGGCAAGAUCUGAGAUGGAUCCUGCAGCCACUAGUUGGAGAACUUUCUCUUACAGUUCAUCUGGUAGGGAAAGCAACCUCCAAUCGGCCAUGAAGAAUGUUUGGUAACAUAGAAAAUUCGGUCGGGUCAAAGAUAAUUAAUAUUUUAGAGUUAGAUAUUGAUGAAGAUAUAUGAAGAGCCAAAACAUGUUUAAAUAUAGAUGAAGAUUAUUGGGAAAAUUGUCACUGAAAACCCCAACUUUCAAAUUUGUUUGAAAAAAGCAUGAACUUUCAAAUUUGUUUGAAAAAAGCAUGAACUUUUCCUUUGACCAUGUAAUAGUGUUCUCGAAAAUGGAUAUUAUUGGUAGUUUCUUUCCACUGCCUUAUACUGGCUGUGGCCUUGCCAUGCUUUCUCGCUUUUAUGUGGCUUUUUCUUUACUAGAUUAGUUACAACUACCUUCGUCACACAAAAUUCUAUUAAUUAGUAUAUUGAGAUGGAAACUAGUUUUUAAACUUUAUCAAAUACAUUUUUUACUUCUACUUCUUGUCAAAUCAACUUGCUAAUCGGUGUAAAUCAUAGCAUUAGAUGACCUCAAGUCCUCAUAAAACUGUUAUGUUUGGUAGACUUAUCAAUGCGUCCAUGGAAGAGGUAUUCGCCAAGACACCUCCUUUAAUUGACAUACGAGAGUUGUAAAUGAAUGGGUUUUUAAAUAUUUGAUACAGUGGCCAUAUAUAACGAAUAUAAAGUAUUUAACGAUUAUUGUAUUGAUUAAUUUUGAAACAAAUUAAUUUUUAUAAUCACAUGAUAUAACCAAUUUAAUUUUUAAUAAACCAAACUAAGUUCAGUAACCAAUUAUUAAUUUUUAAUAAUAUAUUUUGUAAAACGCACGAAAAACCUAUAAUGGCUGUGGGCUUGCCAUUGAAAAAAGCAACCUUAAUAUGGUUUGAAGUGUUUCUAACUGCCGUUAACUGGCUUUUGCCUUGCCACUGAUAAAAUUUAUUGAUAAAAUUUGGAUCUUGACGCGACAUGUGGAAAGUUUUAUUGGUGAAUCCAAGAAUUGGUGUAUUUCAGAUUUUAAUUCGAAUAUAAAUUUGAUUAAUUUUGUGUUAAGAAAGCUCCAAAAAUCUAAGAGAAAUGCGGAGGCAGCAAAGAGGAAACUCACUUGUAAAAUAUGAACAACCUAUUAGCGAAACUUAAAAGUACAAGAACUGAUAUUUUACAAGAGAGAUUGCACAUAUUAGAAUCCAUGCUUAUUAAUCAGUAGCUUCAGUCCCGAGCGUACAUGUUCACCAAAAAUUUGUCCAUACAAAAUUGGUGUAAUGGGCGGUUGUUGAUGUUGUUCCUUCAUUUUCUGUAUGAUUCUUGCUUGUUCGUAUAGAAUAAACUCGCAUAUAUUAUUAUCAUGUAUAGAGCUUAAACUCGUCAGUAAGAUUUUAUUUCUUCCGCCAUUUCUUUCAGAGCCAAUUUUUUUGCAUCAAUUUGUAUACGCAAUUGAACCAUCCUAUAACCAUUUUCUCUAGUCGUUGCACUUUUUUUAAAGAGACUAAGGAUUUGCACAUAUGACGAAAAAAGGUAGCCAUAGAUGAGUUAUUACCUUCAUCAAGUUUUCUUUUGAGUUUUGCUUUAGGCAGAUCAAUAGGAGUUUGUGACGAGUUUUGCUGUGUUUCUUUUUCUAUAUUUUUUGUUGAGUAAUAAAUAGGUUGUUUUAUAAUUUAUCUUUGGGUUGCAACCUAUUCUUAUUUUAUGCACAAUUUUAAGUGGAUAAGAAUUCUCAUGGGAGUUUGCUCAUGGGGUUUCACCUAUUAUCAGCCGCUAGAUAAGACAAAAUCAAUGGACCAGAAUUCUAGUCUUUCUUCAUCUUUCUGAUUGGCUGCUACAUUUAUACGCAGAUCACGAUCUCAGCAAUAGAUCAACGGACCAGAUCUUUUUGUUUUCUUCCGAUCACUCCCUUCCUUCCUUCAAUCCCCUAAAACUAUACUCUAUACCCCAAACCUUUUCAUAAAUAAUUAAUGUUAAAUAAACAAGGGUUCUCAAUAAAAAAAUAAGAAUUUUACAUAUGUAAAUUUAUUUAAAAAACAUCAAAUAUUUUUUUAUAAUACUUAUUCUAUCUAAAUAUAAUAUAAUUGCUAUAAUUGAUCAUAUCCAAAUCAUAACGAAUGAUAUUUUAUCUACAUGCAGUAUUGUUUUUUUCGCAACAAACAGCUAUUCUACGUGUAGUAUUGUUAGAAUAACGCUUUGUGUUAAGCUUUAUUCUUCUGCCUUUAAUAUAAGGACUAUUAUUUAUUUCAAAUACAAAGCUUUAAUGUAUAGUAUAUGGGAAAAAUAUGGAAAUGUGUCAAAAAUACGCGAUGUACUAUGUGAUAAUCACAUUUACGAUGUAUAAUUUUAUAUGGUGGCAACAUCAUAAUCAGAUUUUUAAAUUUAUUUUAGUUAUAGUUUAUGGGGUUCAACCUAUUAUCAGCCGAUAGAUAAGACACAAUCAAUGGACCAGAGUUCUUGUCUUUCUUCAUCUCUUUGAUUGGCUGUUACAUAUAUCACGCGGAUCACGAGCUAUAGAUUUGACAAAAUCAACUAACCGAAUAUUUUGAUUUUCUUCCGAUCACUCCCUUCCUUCUAUUCUCCUAAUUGUCUAUGUAUUCUUUCAUUCAAUCCCAAACCCUAAAACUAUACCAUAUACCCCAAACACAGUAAAAUAAGCAUGGAAGUAAUUAUUAUACACUAAAAUACAUUUACUACUAAUUCACUCACGUACAUAACACUAAUUAACAGAUGUGUUCACUCACGUAUAAAUACUAAUACUCACUAGCACAUCAUGUAUAUGUAGUUUAACAAUUGUGUUACUGUUUUUGAUUCAAUAUUUUACAAAUAAAAAGAGUUUACUUUUGGAGGGGUUUUCUUUGAAGGGUUUUUUUUAAUCUUCCAUGUAUUUCAAAAAUAACAAAAUUAUUUUUGGAGGUAUUCCUAAAAGUAAAUGAACUUCACUCUCGAGACCUCUUUGAUUCAUUACUCUCUCUCUCUCUCUCUCUCUCUCUCUCUCUCUCUCUCUCUCUCUCUCUCUCUCUCUCUCUCUCUCUCUCUCUCUCUCUCUCUCUCUCUUUUUCACUCUUGUCAAAAAUGAUGGAUCCUUACUACAGCGAGAUGAAGCAACACCAAAAGGGAAUGUGAUUGGCUCUAUGCAGUGGCGGACGCAAACCAUGGCAUACCAAACAAGUGUGAUUGUGGUCAAUCUAUCGUGGUGGAAACAGGCGAGCAACGAAGGUGGUACUAUGUAUGCAAAUUGUUUGAGGUUAGAAUGAUGUGCGGUAUACGAAUAUAUGUUCGUUUCUCUUGUUAAUUUGUUGACUUUCAAAAUUACCCUUGCACCUUCAGAAUGACGGCUCGCACUUUCGCAUUUGCUGUCUUAAAGCACUCGAAAAUGAGGUGAAUUAUUUGAAGAAAGACGCUCUAACGAGGUCAAGACCCGCUUGAAGCUGCGAUUAAAGAUUUAACAAAUGAGUGAGGAGAUGGAAGAGCUAAAAAAUUAGUCAAGGGUUGUCCUUAAUUUCUUUUGUUAGAUUCCCUAAAUAUGUUAUGAAUUUGGUGGUGCUCUCGUGUUUAUCUCUUGUGUUCUAAACUUAUAUAUUGCUAUGUGUUUCCAUUUACUAGGUUGUUAUGUUUUACCAAUACUACACCUUCAAAUAAGAAAAAUCAGAGUUAGUUAUACAUCAACCAACAACAACCAAUAUAAGUUUAAACAUAAAACAAAAACAAGAUAUAGCAGUAGUUAAGACUUUUUCACCAUAUUUUCAACAACCAACAAUAGCAAGUUUACAACCAGGUACAAAGAUCUCAUUUUUCCUUCUUAAACCUAUUAUGUAGCAUCCCGAUCCUUGAUAGGAUCGUCCGGGACGAGCCAUGGUGUGAGGAGACGCACCAGUAAGCUCAUAUGACCUAAAGACAAGUGUGUCAUGAUUCAAAAACAUGGUUAAGGGAAUCAGACAGCUGAGGCUUAGCCAAAACAGGUUGGAGACAAGCUCAAAGGAGUUGGUCGAGUGUUACGGUAGCUGGACGAUACAAUGGUGAAGCUCGGAGGUAGCUCACCAAGUGUAAGGCAGCAUGGAUCAUGGGAAAACUUAGUUUAGGUCUGGAAAUAGACCAAGGGACUUAUAAGGAUUGAAUAAGAUGAAGAAACCAAGUUGGACAAAGUGUCUAGCAGCUAGGCGAUGCAAGCAAGAAGCUCAACUGGCUAGACAAAGCUCGGUUGGAGCUCAAGUAGAGUGUGUCAGCUCCCUGAGUUGGAUGGACUAGCUCACUCAGCUGGGGAUCAGCUCAACUCAGCUGGAGUGAGUGUUCAGGUCUCGGACCAGUAGGUCAGGUCCGGGCGGUUACCGGGCCGGUUGGUUGGCCAAGGAUGGCUAUGAGCCGGUGGGCUCUUGGGAUUGAGCCAGGGGCUUGGUUAAUCCGUGAGGGCUUCAGUGUGACUUGUUGAUAUACCAUGGAUUUGAUCCAUUUUCACCCAUGGUAUAUAAGUAUUUUACCAUCUAUAUACUAUAUAUUAUAUCCUACUAGGUAUGUUUUCAGGUUCAGAAGUAUCUUGGAGUAAAGUGAUGAUUAUGGAGCAUUUAGGAGCUUAAAUUAGUAUUCAUCCGAGCUGACCAUUAGAGAUUGAUACGAAGAAGACACAAUCGAUCAAUGCACAUCCAGUGUAAUCGAUCGAUACAGAAGAGAAGCCUCGACGAUUGAAGAUUAAGAUCGAUCGAUGUACAUCUUGUACCAUCGCCCGAUGUCGAGACGCGGAAGCACGACUUGGUUCCAGUCGACUUUAAACCCAAGACUUCACCAAAUUACAAGAUUACCCCUGACGAGUUUUUAACCUUAUAGAUAUAUACUUGCCUAAGUGUUAGGAGGCAAGAGAGCAAAAAGCCACCUUUGUAUUCUUUUAUGAUACAAAACCCCCAUUCUGACACAAAACUUUUUCUUGUCUUUUCAGGUGCAUGCCCAGCAGUACCAGAAGCAACAAGUAAAAACACAUGAUAUUCUCAGAAGAUCCUGCUCACCUGGAACACACGAUCCUCAAAGGUCAACGUUCCACAUCGCUCGACGCAGCAGCUUUCACGUCGACUGAUUCUCGCACCAACCCAUUGACCGAUACCUGACCUUCAUCGUCGACCGAUAUACCUCGUUUGACAUCGAUCGAUCCUACACCUCGUACAUCGAUCGCGGAAGAUGGUUGCGACUGUUAUUCUCAGACAGGAUGAGAAUGGAGACCUGUAUGACCAGGAUUGUCAUAUGCGUAAUGCAACAGGUCAUAAACUACAUGCUCAGGGGAAUGUAAUCCCUGAUGAUGAUGCUAUAGGAGCUGCUCAACCUGUAGAAGAGGCUGCUCCACCAAAGGCACUGGCCGACUACAAUCAUCCAGACGAGUACUACACCAACAGAUCAGCUAUUCGCCUUCCAGAGAUUCAGAAGGAGAAUUUCGAGCUGAAGUCUCAGUACUAGACGCUCGUGUCCCAGCUAUCCUACUCUGGGUUAUCGCACGAGCAUCCUAUGGACCAUCUGGAGAGGUUCAAGGAUCUUAUCACUGCUAUUCGUAAGGAUGGAUCCCCUGAGGACUACCUAUUGUGCAAGCUCUUCAAGUAUACUAUGAUUGGAGAAGAGAUGGACUGGCAUAAGCAGCUACCCACAUGAUCUCUAAAAUUCUGGGCCGACAUCAAGAAUGCUUUCUUGCGAAACUUCUUUGAUGAGGCACGCGCUGAAGACUUGAGGAGCAAAAUCACUACGUUUGUGAAGGAGACUGGAGAGUCUUUUAAAGAUGCGUGGAUCAGAUUCAAGUUCUUCCAGCGAGACUGUCCACACCAUGGAUUCAAUGAAGUGCAACUGCUGAGCACUUUCUUCGGAGGUAUCGCCUGGAGGUAUCAGAUGGCUCUUGAUACAUCUAGCGAGGGAAACUUCAACACCAGGAAUCCGGUGGAGGCUAUGAGACUGAUAUAAAAUCUAGCAAACAUCAACACCAGGAAUCCGGUGGAGGCUAUGAGACUGAUAUAAAAUCUAGCAAAGUUAGAUGUGGUUCAUGAGCUUCUUAGGAAGCAUGUCUGUUCAGCUGAAGGAGAAGUAGCUGUAGACAUGGAAGGAGAAGAGGAUGUGAACUACAUUGGAGAAACUGGAUUUCAGAGAUCUGGAAACCAGGGUGGAAACAGGAACUUCUAUGGCAAUGGUCAGAGGAGUAAUCAGAGUUCACAGUUCCAGAAACCUUUCAGCAACAACAGCAGAGGCUAUGGAAACUCAUACUACCAGAAUCCACCACCACAGACUCAGGAAAGCAAGAUUGAAGCACUGCUUGACAGUUCUGGAAGGACAUCAGCAACUCACUGUGGACUUCAAUGGAAAGAUAGAUUCUACCUACAACAGUCUGAACACAAGAAUUGAGACCUUAGGAACUCAAGCGAGGAAGAUUGAAAUGCAAGUGGCUCAGACUGGAGACACUGUAAAGAGGCAAGAAGCCUUGGCUAGAGAGUUAGGAGUUGAGAAAGCAAAACACCACGUAAGUGCCAUCCUAGAUGAUGAUUUCUGGCAAGUGGUGAAGCAUGAGAAGCUUGGAGAAGGAGACUUCGAAGUUGAAAGCUCCAUGAGUUUCGGCGGAUCACACUGGUGUCGACCGAUGUCAAUGGAUGUACUUUGCUCGACAGACCAAGAGAAAGAUCGAUCGACGGAUUACUUUAGACAUCGAUCGACGUCGUCUGCUGAAUCGGCUGCGGAGUGUAGUGCAGUUCGAAUCAUGACUCAUGAGGAAUUCACAGAAAAACACCAUCACCCACCCUCCCCUCUCUAUGUCAAAAUCGAUCGAUCGCAUGAGCCAGCCAUCGAUUGACAAAGAGAGACCGACAUCGAUCGACCCCCCUCACCUCCCAUCGAUCGACGGAUACCUCUCACCCACCGAGUGCGAUUACCAUCAAUUGAUAGUAACCGAAUCAACGCACUAAGACCACCACCUAAACCUUUAGCAAACCCACCAGAACCUACAACCAACCCUUCAGACACUACACCAGAGCCUAUGAAAGUUGAUGAGGCAACUAAGGGAAGAGUGUUAAGGAAAAGGAAGGAGAAGACUCCUAAGAACCUUAAGAGGGAAGCUAAUGAGAAGGAGAUGGAUGGUUUCACUAAGAGAGUCCUCAGAAUCCCAGUGGAGAAACAAUUUGAUGAAAUUAAUUUCACACACCGGUUGUGGAUGUUCUUCAGGAAAACUAAGGAAACUGAGGAGGACAUUAGGAGAAUGUUUCAUCAUGUCCUGGACAUCAAGCUUAACUGGAACUCUUCACUUUUGCUUGGAAGAGCUUUCCUAGCUACAGUAGGAGUUGUAUGUGACAUGAACACCAACAGAUUGUGUCUGACACUGAUAGAUCCAGACGUCCACUAUGACCUAGUUCGAGUUGUGAGACAACAGGUCAACCUCGUGGAACUUGGAAAUGAUCUUGGUUACAUUGCAGCAUGCCAUUGUGGAGCAGAGUACGAAACCGAGUACUCGGAGUCGAUCGACACUCACACUGUCACAUCGAUCGAUUCUAAUGAGUCACCGACGACCGAUGAACGCUAUCCCACGUUGCUCCACGGGAUGCAACCGGUAGACCACUCCACAUUACCAGAUCAGUAGUAUCCAAACAUUGCCUUUCAACAAUCCAACAAGAACGGACGAGAUGACUAUUCCAUAGGCAGUUGGGAAGAUAGUGGAUUCCAUGAAAGUUUUGCAGUGGAGACUGUGAUUCUCUCAUCCAAUGAGGAUCCUACUGAGGAGUAUGAUGAGGAUUACUGGAAGGAAAGCGCUACAGAGAUUGCUAUGCAGGAUGAAAAAUAUUCAACCCAUUCCUUCAACAACACGCCAACACCAUCGAUCGACAUCAUCUACUCAGCAUCGGUCGAUUCCCACCCUCAUCCAGCAAAACGAUCAUCUGUAUCGAUCGAUACCAUACCUGGUACAUCGAUCGAUAUUAAAGCCGCCGCCUCAGAAAAGGAAAAAGGGAAUAUUCCUAUUCCAAAUAGGUUUACCAACACCUAUAUAAGGAGUUUUGCACCCAGGAGUACGUUUCACGAAACAGAAGCAGAAAAGAUGAAUGCUCCCACACACCAAUCAGAAGGAACAUCCAGGAGAAGCAUUCGAUCUAGAAACCCUAAUUCAGCAGACAAACGUCUACCAUCAAUCGAUACCUCAGUAUCAACAUCGAUCGAUUCUCAUUCCAAACUUAAACUUUCUUUAUCUACUAAGGGUAUGAGUAAUGAUUACGACUUUCUAUUGCAUGAUGAAUUUGGUAUUUUCAGGGACCAAGAUGGCUAUGCAAGAGCUACGGAUGGAAGGAUUCUACAAGUAUCCAGAGAGGACAUAGCGGAUAUUGUUCAGUUGGCCAAUGGAGUAGACAACUUGUUUACGCAGCAACGCAGCAUCCCAGACAACAAUCCAACUGUUCUAGACGUACAUCCAAAGGCUACAACAACAAGAAUUGGUUCACACCAAACGUGCAAACCUGUUAUCCAUGCAUCGAUUGACGAGGCUGCUUCUACAUCCCUCGACAGGGUAACACCAAAGUCGCUCGAUAAAGCACCUUCACCAUCGAUUGAUAGGCAUUAUGAAUGUGGACGUCACGCUUAUGACAGCUAUGGAGCCAGAAAGUUUAGAUGGGAACAGAAGGACGAAUAUGGAGUCUACAGAGACGAGUCUUGACAUGCAAGGAGCAAAACUGGUGAUAUGAUUCAUGUUACAAAGGAUGACAAAAUUCUGGAGAGAGCAUCCCUAUUUGGAGAGGAUCACAUAUGUCUUCCAGAACAUGCCAUUACCUUCACACCUACAACACUGGAAUCAGAGAUCUAUACCAAGGAUGAGAUUAAUAAGAUGGUGACUGGUAUUUGUGGAACUCAGGAGAAUCUUGGAGAUGAACUCAAGACAUUGGUAGAUGACACUAUCAGCCUUUGGACAGAGGUUACAAUGAGCUUUUCAGAUGUAUGGCAGAGUUGAGGACAAAGAUUGAGAGUAUGCAGCACAACCUUGAGAAAGAAGCUACGACAUCAACAUUGACGCCAACAAAGGAACAUCGAUCGACGUCAAGCCACAGACAUCCCAGAAUCCUGCAGAACCGAAAACUUUGGCAGAGAAGAAGGAUGAAUGGGAGAUUGCAUAUAGCAACACGAGGAUUAACGACUUUUACAACCCUCUCAACAACAACGUGGACUGGUUGAGCACGAGAAUUGAUAUGCUACAACAAGAACUGGACACCAUUCGCAUGAAUGAUCCACAACCAGCCACAUCGAUCGAUAUCUGCAACAUCACAUUGAUCGACGCAAGGUUUGCAGCAAUAGAGGAUAGGUUGAAAUCGUAUGAGGAUAUGCACGACCGUUUUACCUCACAUAUCAUGCGCUACUUGGACACCUUGUCUACACAGAUGACAAAUGUCCAGAAGGACAUUGGCAAGCUUAAUGAUCAACACGAUUUUCAGGAAAAAAGUUCAACAUCGAUCGAUAGGUUCCGCAGGACAUGGCUCGACGGCCAGAAACCUACAUAACAUCUUCCUUACACAGCAGAGGCAGUUGAUCAGAUCACAUCAAAGCUUUACAAAGCUAUAGACACCUUGGAGGACCGACUUGAGAAGCGGUGUGAUGACAUCUACUUUCCAUUCGACGUCAAAAUCAGUGGACUAAAUAGCCAAGCAGAAUGGCUACAGAAGGAAGUCAAAGCCAUUCAAAGGCAACUCGCAUCUCAACACCAGAUAUCAGCAUAUCAACGGAGCACACUCCAAAUCGAUCGACCGUGCUACACCAGCAAUGACCGAUACACACCUGGUCGCAUCGAUUGAUACCACGUCCAAACCAGACGAUGCGCAGCUGAUUCCAAACCACAUGGAGUCAAUGCAUGAGCAACUGAAUGAGCUGUCAGAAUACGCCUACAGCAAGAUAAGAUGUUAUCAGUUCAGCAUUGAAGACAUCCUAGAAAGGCUACAGAACAUCUCAAAUGUAGUACAAAAGAUGGAUGAGAGUUGGACCAGAAAUGAUGAGGCCACAAGAAGUUUCAUUGCAGCUUGGUCCAGAUUGUGCAGAGAUGAGGUGGAUGCUUGUUUCCCAACAAGUAGCUGUUUUUCCACCAACUAGCCACAUACCUCCAAAGUCAAGCUAAAUGACUAUAACAAAGCUGAGUGGGAGGCAACCCACUAUUAGGUAAUUUUAAUUAAUUUUCUUAGUUAUUGGUAUUUACUUUCGUUUUUAUUCUUUCAGAUUUAUUGCAAGACCCAAGUAGGAUGAUUACCAACAUAUCGACCGUGGACGAGAAGUUGACAUCGAUCGACACACACUCACACAUGACGAUCGAUGCAUACGUACUCGCAUCGAUCGAUUCCCACUCCGGUCAGGUUUAUUUUCCUAACUUGUACAUUUGUACUUAUCCACCAUAACUCCGACUGUGUUACAAUGGGGCAGUGUAAUUUAAGUCUGGGGAGAGGUUUACUGAUAUGAUUUAUUCUGAUUCUAAUAAAAAGAUUUUUUAUAAAUUAUGCUUAGCUAUGUGAAAGGGACUAGAUUUUAUUACUUGAAUGUCUAACCACUCUUUAGCACCAUUCUAGAUUUACUGAUUGCAGAUAGUACUAAGAUGCUAAAGUGGAUCAACUUGUCAACUAUACACACUUGCCUUGAUUGUUUGAAGGAACCAAAUGUGACCUCCAAUACUAAACCUGACAUAACCGCUUGUCUUGGGGCUUGGUAUACAUAGGAUCGGAUUCUUCAGACAAGUUUAGAAGGUAAAUCCUUAUGUAGAUUUAUUUAUCACAAUUUUCUCUCUUUAUUUCGACCCUAGAGUAUUUAGUAUUAGUAUUAGUAUUAGUUUUUAUUUAAAAAACAUCCGAAAUUUAUUAUUUAAAUAGGACUUAGGAUUUAGCUAGGUGGAAUCUGAACAGGACUUAGUGGCUAAAACCAUUAAGGCUUGCUUCAUAAAGAUUCCAAAUAAAGAAUUCGAACGGGCCUUGGAGGCGGCAAUCUUCAAGGCUCGCUUCACAAAGAAUUCUUGGAUAUAGGUAAAAAAGAAGCGAACAGGGCUUGGUGGCAACCACCAUUAAGACUUGAUUCAUGGAAGCCUGUCCAAUCUUGGUUACUGAUCCAGCAAUGGAAGCAGACUUUGACUCAAGAGAGAAAUUAGAGAGAGAGAGAAAAAUUAGGAACUAACUUUUACAUGCAGUUCCAGAUACUUGUCUGAAAUCCUUGCAUCCUGUGAUCGAUACUCCCAAGGUAAAGCAUGCACAUUAAUAUAUAUGCUAAGAAUUGAGGUUAGUAGAGGGGAAUGUCAGACAUGAUUUGAUAAGUUGUAGAGUAGUUGAACUUGGUUGCUAAGCUAGGAUAUUGCAUAAUGUGCUUUUGUGAUAAGGACUUUAGAUGUGGUUUGCGAAAUUGUAGAGGUGAUAAUUUCUAUGUUUGAUAUCUAUAAAUCCCUGCUGUUUUCAAACCUCUUUCAGAGAGACUGCCUGUUUGUUUUGCUUGAGGACAAGCAAAAUGGUAAGUCUGGGAAAGUUGAUAUACCAUGGAUUUGACCCAUUUUCACCCAUGGUAUAUAAGUAUUUUACUAUCUAUAUACUAUAUAUUCUAUCCUAUUAGGUAUGUUUUCAGGUUCAGAAGUAUCUUGGAGGAAAGUGAUGAUUAUUGAGCAUUUAUGAGCUUAAAUGAGUAUUCAUCCAAGUUGACCAUUAGAGGUCGAUACGAAGAAGACACAAUCGAUCGAUGCACAUCUAGUGUCGUCGAUCGAUACAGAAGAGAAGCCUCGACGAUUGAAGAUUAAGAUCGAUCGAUGUAAAUCUUGUACCAUCGCUCGAUGUCGAGACGCGGAAGCACGACUUGGUUCCAGCCGACUUUAAACCCAAGACUUCACCGAAUUACAAGAUUACCCUUGACGAGUUUUUAACCUAAUAGACAUAUACUUGCCUAAGUGUUAGGAGGCAAGAGAGCAAAAAGCCACCUUUGUAUUCUUAUUUUUUCAGCAGAGAAUUUUAGGAGAGAAGAUCAUAUAGAGAUUUAUGUUUGGAACUCCAUUGAUUCAUUUAUUCCAUUCUAUGCAGUUUUUAUUUACAUUUUGUGUCAUGAAUUACUUAGCUAUGUCUGAGUAGUUUACUUGUUAGAUUCAGGGUUCAAAUAGGUUAGAGGGAUUAGCCCCAAAUAUAGAUUGUUAAUUUGUGGUAUUCAUUGAUUGAUUGUUCUUAAUGCUUAUUCUAGAUUAGCUACCUAGAAUAUUGAAUCUAGGAAUCUGCAGGAGUCAAGCAUCCUUGACCAUCCAGUCCUGAACCUAAUCUGUCAUACUAGACAACUGGAAAAAGGCUACCACUGAACUAGAAAGCUAGUGAGCAUUAUCAACUUACGCCUAAGGCUUAACUAGAAGCAUCGAUCGAUAUUGUCUUCGGACAAUCGAUCGAUAUUUGUGAAAGGUGUAUCGAUCGAUAUCCCUAUAGGACCAUCAAUCAACACUUUCUUGUGAUCAAUAUACGACAGUUGAGGUCCAAGAUCUAGUUAGUUAACCAGUGAAACAUUGCCAUCGCUGAUCACUGUGUCUAAGGGGUUGAGCUCUAAUAUAUCAUGCAUGCAACUGAUAGGCAUCUAUAGGAUUAUAAUCUCCAACACCUAAAUAGAAACCCUGCAUCUAAUACCUUUCCAAUAAGUUACACCCCCAAAUCAUCUUGUUAGUCGAGCAAUGGACUUGCUCAAUUAGGAUUGCUAUUUACAUUAAAACCAUAAAACAACAAACACUUAGAAUUAAUAAAUUACUAGAUUUAAUAGGUUCCCUAGCUGCUUGUGGAUUCGAUCCCUAAGAACUACAAUUGAACCUCUUAUUUGAGAGAAUAAUUCACUCCUUAGGGUGAUUUGAGUGGUAUCACUUGUCUAGGAGUGGAUAAGCAGGCUCAGGACGUCUGGUAACUGCCAUAGGCGAAUGGGUGUGAUCUGUACCAUUGAUUAAAUCAAUGGCCAGAAAUGAAACCGAAGGGAUGCAAUGGUUGAGAAGUAACCAUCCCUUCUUCUAUAAAGGGCAGGAAAUUCCUUGCCUUUGCAGGCACGCCAGCGAUUCCUCCUACACCCUAAAACACAAAGAAAAACAGAGAAAACACAGAGAGUUGGUCGGAUUCAACAUCCAACCCCAAGAGUUGUGUGAAGGCCAUAAAGAGGCAGUUUUGGGAAAUAUCAUAGGGGAAGUUAUGAACGACCCUUUGAUGGGUUUUAAUUCAUGUUAUUAACACCCAAAGUAUCCUCCGGAGCCUGAGAAUACACGCAAAUAGUCAGGAAAGAAGAGAGAUGGCCGGAUUCCACUUCCUAAGGCCAAGAGAGCCUUAAGGAGAGCGGUGUGUGGGAAGGCAGUUUCAUUGGAGUUGGGAAGGCAGUUUCAUGGUCAGGAGAGAAGGUAGAAGGCCGGACUCCACUCCCAAUGGCAUGGACAGCCUUGAAGGCAGAUGCAGCGCAAAAAUCGGUUUGAUGGGAGAUCAAUGGAAGGGAACAUGGGUGCGACCCAUGGAGAUAUCUUAUCAAUACUGAAAGUAUAUGAUAAGGUUUGAUAGAGGCGUGCACUGGAGAUGCAUGGCCGAACACAGUAAGAGGAGGCACAUGAUCUAAUCAGAUCAUGUAUAAGAUAACCGAUUUUAUAAUUACUUUCAAGUUAUGGUUCUGUCUCUUGUAGUGCGGUUAGGGCCAAGUAUAGCACGCCCCUUGAAGACCAUAUGUUGUGAUGUACACUAAGGAUCCAGGACCCUGAGAUAAGGGCGGAUUUUAGUUGAUCUAACUCAUCCAUGUGGGAUGGAAGUUAGAUGCCACUCAUUGGAUAGUGAUCCAUGGUGGAUCAUGGUGUGUGUUGGCUCUGAUCAUUGUGUGAAUCAAUGAUCCGACUCAUGGAGGAGACACAUGGGGAAAAUGGGGGUCCUAGUACAUGAGGAACCAUGUGGAGUGCAAGGUGCAAUUCGUUUGGAACCAACAUCAAGCAAAGGAGAUGAGUAAGGCUAGUACUUGUUGGCAUGGACCACAAGUAUUGAGCUGGUGUAUUUAUUCAAGGAAGGCCGUGUGUGAUCUAAUCUUGGGAAAGGAUGGACGACCUAAUCAAUAGGUGAUGGAUCAAGGUGUCUGAUCUGAUUGAUCAAAGGAUGCACCAGUUGUAAGAGCGAGAUUGAUCGGGUUUAUUGGGACAUGGUUCCAUGGCCGGUUAGGUAAGUGUAAAGACUCAUCAGUUCUGAGUCAUGUGGGGAUGGUUGGCUGAAUAACUAAGUACCAAAGGUAAGAGUCUAUGCAGGUAUAAGAGAGCUGUACGAGUAGAAGGGGAGCUGGGCGAAGCUACCUCGCAGCUCUAUCAGCUGGGAGAGAGUAUAUGGAACCUCAAGUGAAGUGGUUCAGCUCAGCUAGCUGGAUGAGCUAACUAAACAGUUAAGUCAGUUGGGACAAUGUGCUAACAAGCUCCGUGGAUGUGGCAAAGGUAUGAUCUAGCAAUGUUUCAUAGAUCUAGAUAGAAUGGUUAGGGUAAUGGAACCUCGGAUUUGUAUGACUUGAUUUGGGAUCAGGAUUGUUGGGGUCAAAAUCGGUCACGACGGAAUCAAUGUCUGAAAGUCCGUAAAAAUCAGCAUAACCGUUUUUACGAAAAGUAAUCUUCGUAAAGAUAUCUUUAUGAACAGCCUUGCAGUAAAAUAUCGUCCAAAUCUCAAUCGAACCACUAAAUACCGAUUGUCCGAAGGCAACAGACAUGUAUCCAAAUCUGCCGCGGACAA